rnacentral:tRNA from 1 species
GGGGAUGUAGCGCAGUAGUAGAGCACGUGCCUAAAAUGCAUGAGACCCCAAGUUUGAUCUCUGGCACUACCA